UAACUCAUAGGUGUCAAACUCAGGUCCUGGAGGGCCGUUGCCCUGCAUUUUUUUCCAAGUCUCCCUGUUGCAACACACCUGAUUCAAAUGAACAGGAUAGCGGCCCUCCAGGACCUGAGUUUGACACCUAUGGACGAGCAGAUGCUUAAUUUGCCUAUCGCAGCUUUUUAUGGGUAAAUAUUGCGCAGUCGCUGGGCGACACUAGCUCAUAUACAGUAUAUACAUACAGUCUAUUUAAAUGUACAUAAUCAUGUAAUCAUGUGAAGGUAUUUCCGGUCUAUUUUAAUGCCAUGAGAUGGUUCAUAUCUGCUGUAAUACGAGAUGACUGCUACAUUAUUACUAUGACUAUUUGAGCCUACGAGCCUGUGUUUUCCUGUAAAUGUGAAUAUUCAAUAAAUGGGUGAGAAAACUAA